rnacentral:misc_RNA from 1 species
GCGAGGAUUUUGAAUCUGGGAAAUGCUUAAAAUAAUAACAGAAACAGGGAGAACGUAGCUGGGGACCAAAGAUUGUGUUUGCCAAAUGGCAGCUUCGUUUUUGACAAAAAAAAANNNNNNNNAAACAAGAGAAUUGGAAGGAAGAAAACAGAAACACAGGCAGAAGCAGAGGGAAAACUAAUGUUGGAUUUUCGAAGAAAACUCCAUUAUUGCCUUUCUUUUUUUUUUAUGUCCUUGAAAUUCUCUCUGAGUCUCAGGUGG